rnacentral:lncRNA from 1 species
GCUGAAACGUGAGCUCAAAGCGGCGUGCUGCGACUCACGAGGAGAUGACACGGUGAAGGCAGCCAGCCCGGGAGAUGAGUGACUUCAACCUGCUCAUCGAUCCACAUGGUCUGCAGCGGGACCUGCUGGUCCUACCAACUGCUGGCAAGAAAAACAAGGUAAAAAUGGAGCACUUGACAAGACAAUAAAAUAAGUACCCCGAC